GGUUAAUAAUAUUAUUAUUUACCGAUAAUGUCGCAGCAGUAUCGGUGGAAUGUAUGAAGCAGGCAAUGGUAAAAUGUGAUGGUAUUAAAGAUUCUACAGCAAUGGCAAUUUGUUUUCUUGAUUACUACAAACAACAUCAUUGUAACCCAUAAUAAUAUACAGUUAUGUAUGCAAUAUAUUUAAAUAUA